rnacentral:rRNA from 1 species
UACGUAGGGGGCAAGCGUUGUCCGGAAUCAUUGGGCGUAAAGCGCGUGUAGGCGGCUUGGUAAGUCCGCUCUGAAAGCCCGGGGCUCAACCCCGGGAGGCGGGUGGAUACUGUCAAGCUCGAGUCCGGAAGAGGCGAGUGGAAUUCCUGGUGUAGCGGUGAAAUGCGCAGAUAUCAGAAGGAACACCAAUGGCGAAGGCAGCUCGCUGGGACGUGACUGACGCUGAGACGCGAAAGCGUGGGGAGCAAACAGG